GGCUGUGGUCAGAAAACAGCAAUCAGGUGUAAAGAAGCUUUCUGAGAAUCAAAGAAUUGUGACAACUAACGAAAUCUACUGAAAAAGAACGAUUUGUUCAUAUUCAGUUGUAUUUUUAUAUAUCACUGUAAAUAAUAAAUACAUCUCUCUCAUCAACUCACUUCCAGACACAUUCUACAAAGAUGUAUUUUCUCGUGAUGAGUAGCAAAGUCGUGAAAUAUUACUGAUCAUCUCACUGACAACAAACUGUUGUCUAAUAAAAUAACAGAUGACAAGAUGGAAAACUACAUUUAAUGUAUAUUUAUUCAUAAUAAUGCGAUGUAAUCAUCUGGGAAAUCAAAUCCAAAUUAUGACAGGAAGUCUAUUGCAGAUAAUUAUAUAAAAAAUAAAAGCAUUCUGAUACAUUUAGACAAAGUUCUGUUCUGUGGGUUUUGUUGUCAAGAAAACGAUUACCUCAAAUAAUACAUGUAUUUUGUUCCCAUUAGAGGAAAUCCAUUAUUGAGUUAAAAUCCCUAUUGAAAUCUGCUGUACAAUAUAAUAUAUGGGUUUUCUUUUGGGUAGAAUUUAAACACUUGCUUGGCUCAUUGAAGUCAAGAUGGUAGCCUGGGGUAGAAAAAAAUCAAGAAAAAAAAUCGACAAAAGCAAUGAAUUUCUCUAAUAAAAUCUGUUUGCUGGUGGUAGUUACGUAGAAAAUGACAGAGGACCAGAAGCAAUGGAGGGGGGGAGUUGUCAAGUUCCAUUUCACUGUAAGUGCUGAGAGAGCAAUUUGCCUGAACAUUUUUAUUUUUACCAUUCCUUUGAAAUAACACAAGUAGUCAUGGGGGAGUUGUUAAUUUCAGCACAAAUUUGUAGAUAAACAAUGCAAUAAAACAUUGAAUUGCGAGACAUGGGGAAAUGGAAGUUAUAACUAAUUGUUCAAUAUAUAUUUUUUAUUUUUCAUUAUUAAAAGUGACCGACCACACAUGCUAGGAUUUACAUGAAUAAUUUAAUUGAACAGGGGAAAUGUAUAUGCCUAAAUCUUUGUCAAAAUCAGUUUGUAUUCCAUUUUGUGUCAUCUUGUGCUUUUUAUAUGAAUACUGACAAAUGGUUUCUUAUGGAAUCUUUUGCACUGUGGUGUUUAGCAAAUUGAUUAGCUUAUAGUCUAUUUAUGAUUAUUCUGUAAAGAAAAAGGAAUCAGAAAACAAAAAAUAUCCCAAAUAAAAUAAAAUGGGAAAUGUAAAACCUUCCCCCAAAACAUUGUUACGAACAAUAGUAGAGUCAUUUUACAAUAUUUUUUUUCAAAAACCAGCUGGUUAAGGUAACUCAUGGUCUCAGGUAGUUCCAAUGUUUUUACAGUUUCUGUAAAAGUAGAGUUACACUCUCAUUUGAGUAGUAAAAUAUGUAGGUCUGUGAGAACCAGAUAGUCUGAUCCAAUUGACUGACAAACACCCAGGUAAACCAAGUCCAUUAUCAGCCGUAAGAGUCACACCUGAAAGGUCCUCCUUUCACAGUCCUUGGACAUCGUCACAAAAAUGUAUUUU
rnacentral:lncRNA from 8 species